CUUGACAUCCAGAGAACUUGGCAGAGAUGCCUUGGUGCCUUCGGGAACUCUGAGACAGGUGCUGCAUGGCUGUCGUCAGCUCGUGUUGUGAAUGUUGGUUAAGUCCCGCAACGAGCGCAACCCCUAUCCUUUGUUGCCAGCGAUUCGGUCGGGAACUCAAAGGAGACUGCCGGUGAUAACCGGAGGAAGGUGGGGAUGACGUCAAGUCAUCAUGGCCCUUACGAGUAGGGCUACACACGUGCUACAAUGGCGUAUACAAAGAGAAGCGACCUCGCGAGAGCAAGCGGACCUCAUAAAGUACGUCGUAGUCCGGAUUGGAGUCUGCAACUCGACUCCAUGAAGUCGGAAUCGCUAGUAAUCGUAGAUCAGAAUGCUACGGUGAAUACGUUCCCGGGCCUUGUACACACCGCCCGUCACACCAUGGGAGUGGGUUGCAAAAGAAGUAGAUAGCUUAACCUUCGGGAGGGCGUUUACCACUUUGUGAUUCAUGACUGGGGUGAAGUCGUAACAAGGUAAGCGUACGUGU
rnacentral:rRNA from 1 species